UGUGGGGGGAGGGGGGAAUGGGCAUUUAUUGAAACCUUAAAAUUUAUACCCCCAUAAUAUGCCAAAAUAAAAAAAAUACAAAAAAAAAUAAAAAUAAAAACAAAGACUUCAGUAUAUUGUUUUUUUUUUGAGACAGAGUCUCACUUUGUUGCUCAGGCUAGAGUGAGUGCCGUGGCAUCAGCCUAGCUCACAGCAACCUCAAACUCCUGGGCUCAAGCAAUCCUUCUGCCUCAGCCUCCCUAGUAGCUGGGACUACAGGCAUGCGCCACCAUGCCCGGCUAAUUUUUUUCUAUAUAUAUUAGUUAGCCAAUUAAUUUUUCUGUUUAUAGUAGAGAUGGGGUCUAGCUCUUGCUCAGGCUGGUUUUGAACUCCUGACCUUGAGCGAUCUGCCUGCCUUGGCCUCCAGUGUGCUAGGAUUACAGGCAUGAGCCAUAGUGCCCAGCCAGUAUAUUGUUUUUAUAGAGAAACAGGUUACUAAUAAAUAUUUCCCUGUCUUUCCACCCAGGUACUUAUCCCUAUAUUACAUGAGGGGAAUGAAAUACUAGAACCCUACCCCAUGCUACUCAGUGAGCUCUGGUAGCAAGAGCUGUCUGGUAUGUGACUGCGUGAGGUGUGAGGCUCAGCAGGCUCUGAUAUGGACUAAUUGAUGGUGAAUCAGCUGUUGGAUAAAAGAAAGGAGGCCCGGAGAGGUCAAAUACUUUCAGGUCUGCUGCUCUGCCGGCUGUGCUCUCACUCCAUAGCUCCUGCUGUUGCUGCUGUUGGCUCUUCACCUUCACCAUGGCCAUCAGUUUUUGGCAGUGCUGGAGCUGAGCUGCCAGAAUGGCUCCUUUCUCGACCACACAAGGCCACAGCCUUUCUCAAAUCUUUGCCCUCAUCAUGCUGCAAAGCAGAAACUCCUCUCAGGAGGCUUUUGGCUAGAGCCUGA
rnacentral:lncRNA from 1 species